AUUGUCACUUAAAUUGGAAAAACUCCACCCGCGCAUCUUACCCUUCGGGGCCGGGUGCGCAAAAAGGAGGUGUGACAGUUAUUUUAGACUCAAUUAGAGAUAAACACCUAUAUAGGUCAGUUAGGCAAUUCUGUAUUUUUCCUUCUCAGUAAUUUGUAUAUAUAGGAUAUUGUACACUGAAUACAAUCAUCAAAAUACAAGAAAAUACUUCCUAUAUUAUAUAAUUCCAUCAUGGUAUCAGAGAAAUAGGACUCGGUCUCUAGUUUUUCUCUUUUUCAUCUUCUUCAUUUUGUUUUCUCCAGCAUCCUUCUUUCUUUACUUUUCUUCCCAGUUCAAUUCUCAUGGAGCCUGCAACUGAUGAUUCCUCAGUCAGUUCUCUAAUAAUCCCUGUUUCAGGUACUUCUGCUCCAGUGAAUCCAUCACUGAUUAAUCACACCCUUAUUAUCUCCAUCCUUCAAACUCACUUGGUAUGGUGUUGGUUCAUACCACAUUUGAUGGAAAAUGUUAUAAGGGAUGGCGUCGUGCAAUUGUCAUUUCCCUCUGAGCCAAAAACAAAUUAGCUUCAUAGAUGGCAGCUUCACUCAGCCUGACCUUUCUGAUGCUCUUUUCAAACCAUGGAAUCGAUGUAACGACAUGGUUAUCUCGUGGAUCUUGAACUCCCUAUCCAAAGAAAUCGCAGAAAGUGUUUUAUACUCCAAAACUGCUAAAGAAAUUUGGACUAAGUUAGAGGAUCAUUUUAGACAGUCAAAUGGAGCUCAACUCUAUCAUCUACAAAAAGAGUUGAGUGACCUGAUUCAAGGUAACUUAGAUAUCCCAGUGUAUUAUACUAAAAUCAAAAGGAUUUGGGAUAAACUAGAUGCUCUUAAUACCUAUGACCAUUGCAAUUGUGCUUGUUCUUGUGGAGGCAAGUCAAAAACACUCAAGUUCCUUCAGGAUGGUCGGCACAUUCAAUUCCUUAUAGGCCUCAAUGAGAUCUACUAAGUUGUACGCAUCAACAGCUUAAUGACCUCUCCACUACCUAGUGUGAAUCAGGUAUAUUCUUUGCUUAUUCAGGAUGAGAAACAACAUGAGGUGUAUAUAAGCCAACAUCCUGGUGGAUAUGCUUUUCUAGCCAUAAAUCAGUAGGGAUAUGUACAAAAAUCAAUAAAAGCAUACAUGAAAUGCAAAAGUUCCUUUGAGGCAAAUAAAUCCAACCUAUUCUGUAACUAC
rnacentral:lncRNA from 1 species